UCUCCGUUGGUGAACCAGCGGAGGGAUCACUACCGAGUUUACAACUCCCAAACCCAAUGUGAACGUUACCAAACUGUUGCCUCGGCGGGGUCACGCCCCGGGUGCGUCGCAGCCCCGGAACCAGGCGCCCGCCGGAGGAACCAACCAAACUCUUUCUGUAGUCCCCUCGCGGACGUUAUUUCUUACAGCUCUGAGCAAAAAUUCAAAAUGAAUCAAAACUUUCAACAACGGAUCUCUUGGUUCUG
rnacentral:misc_RNA from 1 species